UACGGGGGGGGGCAAGCGUUGUUCGGAAUUACUGGGCGUAAAGGGCUCGUAGGCGGCCAACUAAGUCAGACGUGAAAUCCCUCGGCUUAACCGGGGAACUGCGUCUGAUACUGCCGUGCUUGAGGACUGGAGAGGAGACUGGAAUUACGGUGUAGCGGUGAAAUGCGUAGAUAUCGUAAGGAAGACCAGUGGCGAAGGCGGGUCUCUGGACAGUUCC
rnacentral:rRNA from 1 species